GGAUGUGAGGGCGAUCUGGCUGCGACAUCUGUUACCCCAUUGAUCGCCAGGGUUGAUUCAGCUGAUCUGGCUGGCUAGGCGGGUGUCCCCUUUCUCCCUCACCGCUCCAUGUGCGUCCCUCCCGAAGCUGCACGCUCGGUCGAAGAGGACGACCUUCCCCGAAUAGAGGAGGACCAGUCUUCGGUCAAGGGUAUACGAGUAGCUGCGCUCCCCUGCUAGAACCUCCAAACAAGCUCUCAAGAAUGAGAUUAGCAUGGAUCUAGAGAUGGCUUAGAGGUUAAGAUGCUUGCCUGUGAAGCAUAAGGACCCAGGUCUGAUUCUCCAG
rnacentral:snRNA from 1 species